AUAAGCUGUCAACUCCAGUGUGUAAGGCACAAUGUUGAAGGACAAUUUCCCAGAGUUGACAGCUGGUGCCAAAGACAGUUCCCGGUGAACUUGGAGAGGUGAGACCUCAGUGGGACAUGGUCCAGUGCCCGGUGGAGUUAAGAACUGAUGGGGUCUACCCUAGUCACCAGCCUGAGGACCUGACAGUUUCCUGCCCUUGGUGGCCAUGCUUUUUCAUCCAGCCUUGGCUCAGGCCAGCAUCUCUCUGUAUAUAUUACUGUGUAUAUUCACUCCUGGACAAGUGAGCUCAGCUGUAGUCCUUGCCUGAGGACAAGUCUUAAGGGUGGGUGAAGAGCAGACCAUUAGGCUUUCCUUAACUUUUUGGGACCUUAGUCCUUAGACUGCCCGACAAUCAAGCAGGCACCCCACCAGGAGGCCAGCUCUGGGCCUCUGUGGUUAUUACAGCCCUGGGGAGGCUUGACCUGGAAUUCCCAAGGCUUUACUCGGCCCUGGCAGGGAUCUCAGGCAGGGACCUGAGGUGGCUCAAGAGGGCACAGCUAGCCCUUAGGCCCUGACUCCCUGCACAGCCAGGCUGCAACCUGCCCUCAUGCACACUAGGCAGAGGGGUGGACAGGAACUUUUGAUUUUAGUUUUGUUUCUAAAGUGGUGCCUGUACCUCCAGCCCCCAGGGGGCCCUCCCUGGCCCCACUUACCUGCCCCACCAGGCAUUGCCAUUCCAGCACUUUGCCCCAUGUCGCCCAGAUGCCCUUUGCAGAAUGUAUCCGAGCGUAUGUAUUUAAAAGGACUCGUGGGCGUCAGAAUUUAUGGUUCUGUAUCCAAUAAAAGAUGGUGAACUGAAAA
rnacentral:lncRNA from 1 species